ensembl:lncRNA
UUUAAUCCAUCAAUCCAUUAAAGUCCAUCAGUUAAGUAAAUUAUAACAUAUCUCCAUGCCAUCGCUGCCUCCCUCUGAUGGCCUUGUUUGGGAAGACCUGCGCUCAUCCAGUGAACGAAGUCUGAUCCAUAAUUCAGACUGGAGACCUCCAAGUCAGACAACCUCCCUCUUAUGUGUGAGGUGAUGCAUCGCCUUUCGGUAUCCGUCGUAUCGACUCGGAGGAUGCAACGUUUACGUGACGCGGUCCAGGUUGGCAGAAGAACCGUGAGAUGUUUCCAUGCGGAUGAAACGUGAAUGGCAGAAGGCGGGGCAGACUACAUCGAGAGCCCUCCCUCCCAGCAGAUAGACGUAAACACUGACCUGCCUGGUCAUGCUUCACACUCAACACGCCCGCCUCGUCUCUAUCUAGCUCUGGAAGGAUGCACCAGGAGUAAGACAUGUGGUAGGUGAUGAAAAGAAGAGGGUUCAAGGUAGAAAUGCACGUUGCACGGAUAUUCUUCUCCGGGAUUGUGCGAUGACUCCGUCUGGAUGUAGUGGUAAGUAAGUGACUGCGGCGGGCAGAAGUGUGGACCGUAAACUGGACCGUAACACAUACCCCGGUGUGGACUGCAAAACAUCCCGGUGUUGACCGUAAGGUGUGGACCGUAUCACAUCCCGGGAUCAGAGACCGGGCCCCCGGUGUCGACCGUAAGCAAACCUAGGGUCUGCUGGAUUAUCCAUCAGGUCGGGCUGAAGGCUUUCUCUACCUGACGAGACGAUCCGAGCACUGUCACCGACCACCACCACAGGACGGCUGGGAGGAACAGUACUGUUGUCACUACCACCACCACCACAGGACAACUGGGAUGAACAGUACUGUUGUCACUACCACCACCACCACAGGACGGCUCGUAGGACCAAUACGGUCGUCACCACCACCACCACCACAGGACGGCUGUUACGACCAGUACUGUUGUCACCACCCCCACCACCACAGGAUCACUGGCAGGACCAGUACUGUUGUCACCACCACCAUAUGAUCUCUGGUAGGACCAGUACUGUACGCUGACACCACCCCAGUGAAACCAUGGGAGCCAAGCACCCAAAAGGCCCCAAGGAAGGGGGUGGCAGCCCUCAGCACAGCUGGAGGCGGACCCCAACCAAGGAGCGUGGCGGGGGAGGGGAUAUCCUGGCCCUGCUGCGGUCGGGGGAGAGGCUGAACCGGGGGCCGCCCCCCCCGCCCUACCAGAGACGCAUCGGCAUGAUCCAGGAGAUGAUGGGCAUGGCCAAGCAGGGCCGACAUGACCAGGCCACCGAGGUGCUGAAGAGCCUCAGACAGUGGUUGACAGGUCAGUAAGUCAUUGUGGAGGGGGGAAGGAAAC